UACGGGGGGGGUAAGCGUUGUUCGGAAUUACUGGGCGUAAAGGGCUCGUAGGCGGCCAACUAAGUCAGACGUGAAAUCCCUCAGCUUAACUGGGGAACUGCGUCUGAUACUGGAUGGCUUGGAUUCGGGAGAGGAAUGCGGAAUUCCAGGUGUAGCGGUGAAAUUCGUAGAUAUCGGGAGGAACACCAGUGGCGAAGGCGGCGAUCUGGGAAGAUACUGACGCUGAGGUGCGAAAGCCAGGGGAGCAAACGGG
rnacentral:rRNA from 1 species